rnacentral:rRNA from 1 species
AGAGUUUGAUCCUGGCUCAGGACGAACGCUGGCGGCGUGCCUAAUACAUGCAAGUCGAACGAAUUGGUGCUUGCAUCAUUGAGUGGCGAACUGGUGAGUAACACGUGGGAAACCUGCCCAGAAGCGGGGGAUAACACCUGGAAACAGAUGCUAAUACCGCAUAACAGCUUACCGCAUGGUCGAGCUUGAAAGAUGUUCGUAUCACUUUUGGAUGGUCCCGCGGCGUAUUAGCUAGAUGGUGGGGUAACGGCUCACCAUGGCAAUGAUACGUAGCCGACCUGAGAGGGUAAUCGGCCACAUUGGGACUGAGACACGGCCCAAACUCCUACGGGAGGCAGCAGUAGGGAAUCUUCCACAAUGGACGAAAGUCUGAUGGAGCAACGCCGCGUGAGUGAAGAAGGGUUUCGGCUCGUAAAACUCUGUUGUUAAAGAAGAAUAUAUCUGAGGUAAUUCAGGUAUUGACGGUAUUUAACCAGAAAGCCACGGCUAACUACGUGCCAGCAGCCGCGGUAAUACGUAGGUGGCAAGCGUUGUCCGGAUUUAUUGNGCGUAAAGCGAGCGCANGCGGUUUUUUAAGUCUGAUGUGAAAG